AACGAACGCUGGCGGCGUGGAUUAGGCAUGCAAGUCGAACGCGAAAUGCGGAGGGGGUAACUCUCUGCAAAGUAGAGUGGCGAACGGGUGAGUAACGCGUGAGAAACCUGCCUUCGAUCGAAGGGGGAUAACACUCCUAACGGAGUGCUAAUACCGCAUGAGACCACGGGAUCGCAUGGUCCUGAGGUCAAAGGUGGCCU
rnacentral:rRNA from 1 species